UGCCCAGGCGCGAAAACUUUGCAAUAAGCGAAAGCUUGACAGGGCUAUCCCGAGUGCCAUCCGCUGAGGAAGGCUUUUACCCAGUCUAGAACGCUGGGGGAAUAAGGAGAGGGCAAGUCUGGUGUCAGCCGCCGCGGUAAUACCAGCUCUCCGAGUGGUGUGGAUGUUUAUUGGGCCUAAAGCAUCCGUAGCUGGCUAAGUUAGUCCCCUGUUAAAUCCACCGAAUUAAUCGUUGGAUUGCGGGGGAUACUGCUUGGCUAGGGGACGAGAGAGGCAGACGGUAUUUCCGGGGUAGGGGUGAAAUCCUAUAAUCCCGGGAAGACCACCAGUGGCGAAGGCUGUCUGCUAGAACGCGCCCGACGGUGAGGGAUGAAAGCUGGGGGAGCGAACCGGAUUAGAUACCCGGGUAGUCCCAGCUGUAAACGAUGCAGACUAGGUGUUUGAACGGCCACGUGCCGUUCUAGUGCCGCAGGGAAGCUGUUAAGUCUGCCGCCUGGGGAGUACGAUCGCAAGAUUGAAACUUAAAGGAAUUGGCGGGGGAGCAC
rnacentral:rRNA from 1 species